CUUCCUCCCUCCUUCUCUCCCUGCUGGACCCGGCCCCCUCCCUCCAGUGUCAGGGGCCAGCUGGGGCAGGGAGGGAGCUAAGGUGGGGCCAGCAGAAGGUGCAUAAAUCAUUAUCGGCGAAGACCUCAGCCCUGAGCCGCUGGGUGGAGGCUGCUGCUCAUGGUUCAGGCCAGGGCAUAAAUCAUAAUUCCCCUACAAUAGAUCCUUUUGCAGCCGCCAUCAGGAAAACUGUGUUGGUUUUAUCGAUUUUUUGACACGGGGGCCUAGGCAGCGGGCGGCUCCUGAAUCAUUAUGAAAUGAAACUGAUUAGGAAUUCAUGGAAUACUAAAUAAACUUUACGAGCCCGUUGUAAGUUUUUUGAUGCAUGGGGAGCGGAAAAUGAAAACUAAUGAUAUAAAAAUUACACAGCGUGCUGAGUAUUAUUAUACCGCUAUUGAUUUGUUUCAAACUGUACAUCAAAAUCGAAGAGGGCUGGGGUGGCUCCUGCAGCGAUGCUGGGAUGUUUGGGCUCACCAGGGCUGGAAGACAUUUUUUCCUCCUAUUUUUAUUUGUUUUCUCUUUCUCUUUCCUUUAGCCUCCCUGCUCUGUAAUUGGACUCCUUACUCCCCAUCCCCACUCUUCCAGGGGAGGCCCCAGGGGGCCACCUAGCCACCCACCCACAGGGCAGCCUCCUCCUCAGCUUGGAACCUGGACCCUGGCUCAACUUGAAUUCUGGGCCUCCACUGGUCUUUCUCUCAGGAGCUGCAUUUUCACUCUGUGAGUUUCUCUCUUCUCUUCUGCUUUCCCCCUGUUUCUCUGAGGAAGGACAGUAUGCUUCAGGGAAAAGAGUGAAGAUCUGUUUCCUGAUUAGCACCUUGCUGUGUGACCUUGGGCACGGCACUGUGCCUCUCUGAAUAUCAAAAAGAUUGGACUUAUUAGAUCAAGGUUUCUCAAAGUGUGGUCUGUUGACAGCCCAUAUGUCAUCUUCAGAGCUUGUCAAAAAACGAAUCUGUGGACCCCCCUUGAUGAACUGGCUCCAAAUCUCAGGAGGGGGAUCUGGGAAUCUGCAUUUCACUAAGUAUCCCAUGUGACUCCUGUUCAUGUUCAAUGGAAGCCACUGUACCCUUUGAUUUGAAGCAACGUGGGGAGCCACUUGGCUCCCCAUUGGGUUGUCAUAAGUGGCCUUAAAGCUGUGCGCGUUGCCCUCUGUAGUAGUUAGCUUUUGCUAACUAAUUGUUUGCAGUAACAAUCUAUCCCCAAAUCUCAGUGGCUUACACCAACAAAAGUUGACUUUUUGCUCAUGGUACAUAUCUGCUGUGGGCCGUUGGUGGCUCAGCUCUAUAAAUCUUCAUUCUGGGGUUCAGAGUGAAAAAGCAGGCCUGAUCCAAGAUAUGUUAUUCUGGGGGCAGAGGGAAAAGAUCAAGAAAGAUGGUGGAAACAUGUGACACUCCUAAAGUUUUUGCUUGGAUGUCACUUCUGUUCCUCUUCCGUUCACCAAAAGGAGCCAUAUCAUCAAGUCCGGUGUCAAUGGAGUGGAGAGUACAUCCUCCCACAGGGAUGGGCACAGGGAGAAGCCCUGGAUGUCAGCGGCACAAGCCUGGCCCUUGAGGACCUCAGUAUCUCUCUGAGGACACAGAAACACAUCCAUGCUAUGUACACACACUGCAUGCAGACCUUUUCAGAACUAAACAAAUGAAUCACACGAUGGUCCAGAAUGGACUCAGGAUGAAGAGUCUUCAGGUUUGAGUUGGAAUCUCAGUUCUGCCCCUUACUGGUUCUGUGGCUUUGGAUGUUACUUUGUUUUUCUAAAUCUGGGAUUCAGUUUCCUCCACUGUCAAAGAUGGAUUUGGAUUCAAUUCAUCUCAGAUUCCUUCCAGGGGAUUAGAGUGGGCAGCGGUUAACACAUUGGCACAAUUCCUACAAGAUGUUGAUGCCUAAAUUAGUCCCAACUCUUUUCACUUUGGGGAAAGAGCCAGAUAGAAACCUAAACUCAAGCUGGCUUGAGCAGAAGGGAGGUUACUGACUAUUGAAGAGGGGAAGGGCGUCUUUAGGGGCAGUGUGAUCCGGAAGUUCAGAAAACAUUAUCAAAGAUCCGUCUUCACCUCUCAGCUCUUCUUGGCUUCUUCUAGGCUGGGCUCUUCCUCAGGCUUGCUCUCUCCCUGUGAUCACAAGACGGCUGCCUAUAGCACUAGGCCCACAUCCUAAUGGUUCAACAAAGGGAGCAUCUCCUUCUCAGUAGUAACAGUAAAAUUCUCAAGACUGAGUGUCACUGGCCCAGGUUAGGUCACAUGUCCUCCCAUGAACCAGUCACUGUGGCCAAGGGCGGGGGGAGGAUUUCAGCCACUGUCAGGGCACCUGGCGCACAACAGGCACCCACCAGAGGUUUGUUGAGCUGCAGUGAAUUUGAUGCAGCUCCUGGACUCCAGGAUUUACUAAUGGAAUGAAGGGGAUGGGCUAGUGCAGCCCAGAGACAUCUCUGGAUCCAAGAGAACCAGCCCCACUGGAGCCCGUCUGGAACCCAGAGGAGGAAGGAGAGAGGGGAACCUAGCCCCGCCCUAGUGUGUAACAAGCGCUGCUUAAGUGCGUCUCGUGUAGAGUUUCUGCUCCUCCUCACCAUGACUGUCAGAGAUAGGUGGCAUCACCCACACCUGAGAACAACGGAAAUGAGGCUCAGAGAGGUAAGGCCUGGGGUGUGGGUUUCCAGCUCCAGGGUUUCCACAUCUCUUAAAGCCAUGGCACCUGUGGUUAAAUGGUAACAUUCUACUCAGAAGUUUAAUA
ensembl:lncRNA